UGUGGCUCAGUGGUAGAGCACUUGCUUAGCAUGCAUAGGCCCUAGGUUCAAUCCCUAGCA
rnacentral:tRNA from 1 species